GGAUCUGUGAUCUGAUCUCCCGCACCCAAUCCUAGCAUCCUGAUUCCAUCCGCACCAGUGAUCAGCUCCCUUCCCGUCUUGACCGCGAUCACCCCCCAGCGUCCGCCUCCUCCAUUCACGCGUCCAGCUCUCAGCGUGAUUCUCCGUGUUCAUUCCCAGCAUCCGCACGUCGUCCGCGUCCGCGAUCACCUCCGGCACUCGUCUCGUCCGUGUUCUCCUCCUUCUCAGCCUCACAACCCGAUCAACGCUCCUCCACAGCAGCCACGAUCACCUCCCAAGCAUCCGCCUCCCUCACCGUUUCAAAGAUUCCGAGUCCGUUCUUCAGCAUGUGAUCCCGCCUACAGCCGUCCGUGAGCAGCGUCCCAGGAUCCCAGCGUUCGAAGAUCCUGCCGCAGCUCUCAUCCAUUUCAAUCUCCCAGCUAUCUGCCUCCUCUUCUUCCACGAGCCUGCCUCACGUGCCGGACCAGCAUCAGACCCCCUCAGCGCCGGAUCCGCCCGCAAUCUCCUCCACAGCGUCCGCCUGAGCCCAAGACCCCAGCAUCCCGUGAAGCGUCGCACCCAUCAGCGCCGGAUCCGCUCCGUUGUCACCUCCUCUCCACGCGCGAUCAGGGGAAUCCUAGCUUGUCCAUGGGCUCUGGGGCGAUCUAUAUGAAAAGGGCCUUCUCGACUGGGAAAGGGAGCUCUGAUUCGGAAAAACAGA
rnacentral:lncRNA from 1 species